GUUUUUUAUCAAAAUUAUACAUGCAAGCAUCCGCACACCAGUGAGAAUGCCCUACAAAGUACAAAGGAGCAGGUAUCAGGCACAACCAGUUAGCCCAAAACACCUUGCUAUGCCACACCCACACGGGCACCCAGCAGUAAUAAAUAUUAAGCAAUGAGUGAGCAACCAACACAAGCUCGACUUAGUUAUGAACAAAAGGGCCGGUCAACCUCGUGCCAGCCACCGCGGUUAUACGAGGGGCCCAAAACAUCGGACACCGGCGUAAAUUAUGGCUAGAGAAAACCACUUACAUUAAAGGAAAGUAAAAACAAGCCCAACCGUAAAACCUGGGCCAAAAGAAGCCCACUAUUCCAAACUGUAAAGUUACUUGAACCCAUGAAGACUAAGAAACAAACUAGGAUUAGAUACCCUACUAUGCUUAGUUGUUAACACGACAUUAAACAACACUAAUAUGUCCGCCAGAGGAUUACACGCGAAAAGCUUAAAACUCAAAGGACUUGGCGGUGCUCCGUAUUCGCCUUAGAGGAGCCUGUCCUAUAAUCGAUACUCCACGCUUUACCUCACCAUCUUUUGUUAUAACAGCCUAUAUACCGCCGUCGCAAACUUACCCCAUGAGGGCAUAAUAGUAAGUAAAAUAGUCCCACACUAAAACGUCAGGUCAAGGUGUAGCUUAUAAGAUGGAAGAGAUGGGCUACAUUUUCUAACCCAGAACACACGGCAAAGGGCAUUGAAACAUGCCCACAAAGGUGGAUUUAAUAGUAAGAUAACAAAGAAAACUUAUCUAAAACCCGCUCCGGAGCGCGCACACACCGCCCGUCACCCUCCUCAACAAACACAAAAACAUUUAUAAUACCUAAUUUAAUCAAAGAUGA
rnacentral:ncRNA from 1 species